rnacentral:rRNA from 1 species
GACGAACGCUGGCGGCGUGCCUAAUACAUGCAAGUCGAGCGAAUCAAAGGGAGCUUGCUCCCUGAGGUUAGCGGCGGACGGGUGAGUAACACGUGGGCAACCUGCCUAUAAGACUGGGAUAACUUCGGGAAACCGGAGCUAAUACCGGAUAAUUCUUUUCUACUCAUGUAGGAAAGCUGAAAGACGGUUUCGGCUGUCACUUAUAGAUGGGCCCGCGGCGCAUUAGCUAGUUGGUGAGGUAACGGCUCACCAAGGCGACGAUGCGUAGCCGACGUGAGAGGGUGAUCGGCCACACUGGGACUGAGACACGGCCCAGACUCCUACGGGAGGCAGCAGUAGGGAAUCUUCCGCAAUGGACGAAAGUCUGACGGAGCAACGCCGCGUGAGUGAUGAAGGUUUUCGGAUCGUAAAACUCUGUUGUUAGGGAAGAACAAGUACUAGAGUAACUGCUAGUACCUUGACGGUACCUAACCAGAAAGCCACGGCUAACUACGUGCCAGCCGCCGCAGUAAGAC